AGAGUUUGAUCCUGGCUCAGGACGAACGCUGGCGGUGUGCUUCACACAUGCAAGUCGAGCGAAUGAAGAAGGUAGCUUGCUACUUUUGGAUUUAGCGGCGGACGGGUGAGUAAUAUAUAGGAAUCUGCCCUAGAGCGGGGAACAACAGACCGAAAGGUUUGCUAAUGCCCCAUAGGUACGCAGUCUUCGGAUUGUUUAUUAAAGGAGUAAUCCACUCUAGGAUGAGCCUGUAUCCGAUUAGCUAGUUGGCGGGGUAAAGGCCCACCAAGGCUACGAUCGGUAGUUGGUCUGAGAGGAUGAUCAGCCACAAUGGGACUGAGACACGGCCCAUACUCCUACGGGAGGCAGCAGUGGGGAAUUUUACACAAUGGGGGAAACCCUGAUGUAGCGACACCGCGUGAACGAAGAAGCCUUUUGGGGUGUAAAGUUCUGUCGGCUGGAACGAAAAAAAUGACGGUACUAGCAAAGGAAGCAUCGGCUAACUACGUGCCAGCAGCCGCGGUAAGACGUAGGAUGCAAGCGUUGUCCGGAUUUAUUGGGCGUAAAGAGUUCGUAGGCGGUUAUUUAAGUCUGGUGUUAAAUACUGUGGCCCAACCACAGAACUGCAUUGGAUACUGGAUGACUUGAGUGCGGUAGAGGCGAGUGGAAUUCCCAGUGUAGCGGUGAAAUGCGUAGA
rnacentral:rRNA from 1 species